CGUUAUGAAAAUUACCUCUUCAUAAGGCACCAGAUCCUGUCUGAUGUUGGAAGCUAAGCAGGACCAGUCCUGGUAAUACUUGGAUGGGAAACCAACAAUGAAUAUCAAGUGCUGUAGACU
rnacentral:rRNA from 11 species